GGAUUUGUGGCUCAGUGGUAGAGCACUUGCCUAGCAUGUGUGAGGCACUGGGUUCAAUUCUCAGUACCA
rnacentral:tRNA from 1 species